UUGACUAUUUUGGUCUUUGCUCAGAGGUUACCGCUGUAAAUACAGAGUGUUUUGGUCCUCCGGCGGGCGCCCUUACGGGCCGCGGCCCCUCCCAGGGGCCGCCCGCCGAAGCAACGAGAGGUUUUGCUCACAGUGGGUUUGGAGUGCGAGACUCACUAAUGAUCCCUCCGCUGGUUCACCAACGGAGA
rnacentral:misc_RNA from 1 species